GUGGUACCCACUUCAGCAUCACAUAUACUAAAAUUGGAAUGAUACAGAGAAAAUUAUGAUGGUCCUUGUGCAAGGAAGACACAAAAAUUCCGAAGCAGCCCAUAUUUUU